GACGAACGCUGGCGGCGUGCUUAACACAUGCAAGUCGAACGGAAAGGCCCUGCUUUUGUGGGGUGCUCGAGUGGCGAACGGGUGAGUAACACGUGAGUAACCUGCCCUUGACUUUGGGAUAACUUCAGGAAACUGGGGCUAAUACCGGAUAGGAGCUCCUGCUGCAUGGUGGGGGUUGGAAAGUUUCGGCGGUUGGGGAUGGACUCGCGGCUUAUCAGCUUGUUGGUGUGGUAGUGGCUUACCAAGGCUUUGACGGGUAGCCGGCCUGAGAGGGUGACCGGGCACAUUGGGACUGAGAGACGGCCCAGACGCCUACGGGAGGCAGCAGUGGGGAAUAUUGCGCAAUGGGCGGAAGCCUGAUGCAGCAACGCCGCGUGCGGGAUGACGGCCUUCGGGUUGUAAACCGCUUUCGCCUGUGACGAAGCGUGAGUGACGGUAAUGGGUAAAGAAGCACCGGCUAACUACGUG
rnacentral:rRNA from 1 species